rnacentral:lncRNA from 1 species
GUUCCAAAUAGUUGAGGAGACUGUUGGGCUCUCUUGGGGGUUGACAGCUACCAAAGAAGUUGGAGGUUGCUGAUCUGUGCUCCUGGGACACCUUUGGAUCAUCUUACAAGCAGCCCUCUGAAGCAGGAGUGGAUGGGAGCUUUUCAAUGCCCUUAGGUGGACAAAGGGCCAAUACUGGGAGCUUCAGCCAUUCUCUGGACCAUCUAGGACUCCUCAUCUGGACUCCAGCCUCUACUUGCCAAAAGACUCUAUAUGGUGCAGGGGAGACUAGCAUCUUUGGCGUGAGGGCUUGCUCAGCCCUUUUCAGGGCUGUUCAUGCAUCUUUGGUGUCCACCUUCCAUCCAACUCUCUCCUGUAACUCCAAGGAGCUAAAGCAGGAAGCCGCCACCUCCUUGUAAAACAGCUAAGCAGAUGGGCUAAAUCAGGUUGAAGUAACUGACAUGGGUGAGAAAAAUUGUCUCUGAAGCUGUUCAUGUUCCCAUAGCUUUCUUGCCAGUCACUAGGUACAUUGCCACUAGGUGAGUGGUAUUACUUUGCUUUCAUGUGGUCUGAAAAAAAUUAUGCUUCUUUCAUUGAUG